CUCAAUGCUGUUCAAGGUUCUGCCAUGAUCCCUGUGGUCAAAAAAUUUACAUUUGCAUCUACGUGUGUGGAUCAGCAACAGAUACUGGAGCUGAUUUCAGCUUCCACCAUGAUCAAGGUUACUGUACUGCCUCUGUCAGGAAAGAGACAAAGAGUGAACACUCUUGAGGGAUUUAACCAUCUUCCAUGAUCACAAGCUCUUUGGUUGCAUCUAUACAUUAGAAGCAUGGAGACCACUAAUGGAUGCCCUUGAGCUGAUUUAAGCAUCUUCCAUGGACAGGAGCCCUAUGGUUGCAUCUGUGUUAGGAGGAUGGAGAACAAUAAUGGGAGCACUCAAGCUGGUUGAAGGAUUCUUCUAUGGUCCUGAGAGCUCUGGUUGCAUUCACGUGUUAGGACUGUGGAGACCAUAAUAGAAGCUCAAAGUGAUUUCAGCCUCUAUUGUGAUCAAGGUUAUCAUUUUCAGGUUGGUAUAAGACAGAGACCCAGGUGAGUAAUGACCAACGUUCC